rnacentral:rRNA from 1 species
CAUGGCUCAGGAUGAACGCUAGCGGGAGGCCUAACACAUGCAAGCCGAGCGGGAUUUGUUGGUUAGCUUGCUAACUAACGAUGAGAGCGGCGUACGGGUGCGGAACAUGUGUGCAAUCUGCCCUUAUCAAGGGGAUAGCCCGGAGAAAUCCGGAUUAAUACCCUAUAACAUAUGGGAUGGCAUCAUUUCAUAUUAAAAGCUACGGCGGAUAAGGAUGAGCACGCACAAGAUUAGCUAGUUGGUAAGGUAACGGCUUACCAAGGCGACGAUCUUUAGGGGGCCUGAGAGGGUGAUCCCCCACACUGGGACUGAGACACGGCCCAGACUCCUACGG